UACGUAGGGUGCAAGCGUUAAUCGGAAUUACUGGGCGUAAAGCGUGCGCAGGCGGUGAUGUAAGACAGGUGUGAAAUCCCCGGGCUUAACCUGGGAACUGCAUUUGUGACUGCAUCGCUGGAGUGCGGCGGAGGGGGAUGGAAUUCCGCGUGUAGCAGUGAAAUGCGUAGAUAUGCGGAGGAACACCGAUGGCGAAGGCAAUCCCCUGGGCCUGCACUGACGCUCAUGCACGAAAGCGUGGGGAGCAAACAGG
rnacentral:rRNA from 1 species